GUCCACAUGAAGAGUCCCGAAUAGGACGAAAUGCGCAUCCUGGAU
rfam:Trichobilharzia regenti genome assembly, scaffold: TRE_scaffold0007511